rnacentral:rRNA from 1 species
UACGUAGGGUGCGAGCGUUAAUCGGAAUUACUGGGCGUAAAGCGUGCGCAGGCGGUUCGUUGUGUCGGCGGUGAAAGCCCCGGGCUUAACCUGGGAAUGGCCGUUGAAACUGGCGAACUGGAGUGUGGCAGAGGGGGGUGGAAUUCCGCGUGUAGCAGUGAAAUGCGUAGAGAUGCGGAGGAACACCGAUGGCGAAGGCAGCCCCCUGGGCUAACACUGACGCCUCAUGCACGAAAGCGUGGGGAGCAAACAGG